UACGUAGGGCGCAAGCGUUGUCCGGAAUUAUUGGGCGUAAAGAGCUCGUAGGCGGUCUGUUACGUCCGCUGUGAAAACCCAGGGCUUAACCCUGGGCUUGCAGUGGAUACGGGCAGACUAGAGGCAGGUAGGGGAGAAUGGAAUUCCCGGUGUAGCGGUGAAAUGCGCAGAUAUCGGGAGGAACACCGGUGGCGAAGGCGACUCGCUGGACAGGUAUUGACGCUGAGGUGCGAAAGCGUGGGGAGCAAACAGGG
rnacentral:rRNA from 1 species